AAUGGUGUAGAUUUAUAUUUUGUAGUACUUUUCAGUUCAGUUAUUCAGAAACACGGCACAUUCUUUACGUGGGAUGAGCAAACUGAACCAACAACAAUCUGAUUCAGACAAUGCAUGAGCUUUUCAAACAAAGGCAUAAAAGACAGCGUGUCUACAUUUUCCAAACAGUAUGAAGAGGAUGAUGAAUGUUUGUUUCUAUGAAUAUUUUGCAAGUAAUGUUUGAUAAGGUAGUUGAGGAGAGAUUUCAUAUACUUGAGUAGGGAGGGGUAUGGUAUUACAAGCCAAAGAACAAGGCUAUGAGAGUGUUCUCACUGCCUUGUUUGCUUGUGAUAUUUUACCACAAUCUUCAGGGUUAAUUCACAAAAUUGCCAUUUCAUCUAUUGCCAACUCGUCCACUCAUCACAGUCUAACUUCAUAGUCUAAUGCCAUUCCACUCAUAAACAUUUUUGUCUAACAAUUUUCUAACAACGAUUCGGUACAAUAGCCACCUUAUUUUUAUUAAUUUGGCCCAAUUAACACUUAUUCAAAUUAGACCAAACACCAACGGUAGGCCUAUAUGGAGUAAAUUCCCUAUUGGACCAACUGGUUAGUAGAUGAAAUGGUGAGCAGACGAAAUGGCACUCAGACAAUGUGGAUAGUGGACGAACUGAUGGUAGACCAAAUGAUAUCAGAUGAAUUGGCAUUAGACGAACUAAAAAAAAAAAACACCCUGAAGAAAGAGAGUCAGGGAGAAUGAGAGUAAAGAGAGAAAUGGAAAGAGAAAGAGACAGGAUAUACAGACAGAAAGGGGAGGGGCAAUUCUGACCAAACCCUUUUACACCUCAGCGAGUCGAAAACGGGCAUUUGCGCAUUUUUGUUCCAGCUACAUAGAUACAUGUAGGUGGUUUGAAUAAAAUGGCUGUUUUGCUUUUCAACUCACCGUACGGCUGCCAUAGAGAAAAUGUGAUUGCGGUAUCAGGGAGAAGGAAAAAUAGAAAUAGAAAGACAGGUUAUGUAGACAGAAAAGAAGGGGAGGGGGGUAAUUCUGACAAAAUCCUGCAGCUAUAUUACAAGCAAAAUUAACAAGGCAAUGAAUAAAGACCGGGAGAGAGAGAACAAAAAACGGUGAAGAAAAGUCUGACAACAAAAUAUAUCCUUUGGAUAGUGACAUUGAAUGAUACUCAGUCUACUUGGCACUGGAAAACCCAACUUACAUGCAUGUAUGCAAUAGACCACUACUAUCACACACAUACAUGGACAAGGGUCUGAACUUCCAGACUAGCUACAUGUACUAGGCCAGACAAUGUUUUUAAAUAACAACAAACAGCUGCAGCCCAUCCCACUCUACUGUCUGACAUCGCUGGUAAUACAUCUCUCUCAGCAUACUGGCAAUACCUUUUGUGUACUCCUAUCCAAAAACGCAUACUACCAAGAAAAAUUGAUUUCAUACAUGUUACAGCACUCAUCGUCACAUCUGGCAAGUAAUAUCAAACGCUUGUCAUUGCUGUGUGAACAAGUGAAUUGUUUAAGGGAUUUCUAAUAUUCAGAGCCAAAGUCCUUGUCAAAACUCUGUAAGCUCAUUCAACCAAUCACCGGGAGUUGCAACAGGAAGUACUCAACCGAUGAAGACUUUUGGACUAUACUGACUUGAAUCACAAGAGGGCAGCAGACAAUUUAAUAAUCAUUGAUCGGAGAAAAGUUAGGAAAUUUAUAGAUUUAGCCGACAAACCCAGAUAACCAGGGGAAUUCCAGCUUCCACCUCCACCAAUAAAGAAAACAAUGAUCACCAAGUGUGCAUAAUUCAUGCAUAGACUUGUCCUGGGAAUUCCAAUCUCUGGAAUGUGAUGGUUUAUCAAGCAUAGCAAACAAAAGCUUGAUUGAAUGGUAAUUACUCAGCUGCUUUAGUGGCAGUGAAACCACACCCCCUGAAUCCCUAUAUUUGUGAUCAGACAACUGCUUGGUGCGAUUAACACUGAAAAUUGGAGGGUUACGAAGAUAGCUGAUUCUUCGCUUGGAUCAAUUUUCAGCACACCAGUGCAAAUGAGUGGUCCCACAC